GUGCUCACUUUGGCAGCACAUAUACUAAAAUUGGAAUGAUACAGAGAUUAGCUUGGCCCUAGUGCAAGGAUGACACACAAUUCAUGAAGCAUUCUAUAUUUUU